UGUCUUUUUGAACAUGUUACCUCAGCAUACA
rnacentral:piRNA from 1 species